UGCCGGGUGGUGUAACGGUAACACGACUGACUCUGGAUCAGUUGACUCUAGGUUCGAUUCCUAGCCCGGCAGCCA
rnacentral:tRNA from 1 species